rnacentral:rRNA from 1 species
ACAUGCAAGUCGAACGAUGACGGUGGUGCUUGCACCGCCUGAUUAGUGGCGAACGGGUGAGUAACACGUGAGUAACCUGCCCUCCACUUCGGGAUAACCUCGGGAAAUCGUGGCUAAUACCGGAUAUGAGCACUCAUCGCAUGGUGGGUGUUGGAAAGAUUUAUCGGUGGGGGAUGGACUCGCGGCCUAUCAGUUUGUUGGUGAGGUGAUGGCUCACCAAGACGAUGACGGGUAGCCGGCCUGAGAGGGCGACCGGCCACACUGGGACUGAGACACGGCCCAGACUCCUACGGGAGGCAGCAGUGGGGAAUAUUGCACAAUGGGCGAAAGCCUGAUGCAGCGACGCCGCGUGGGGGAUGACGGCCUUCGGGUUGUAAACCCCUUUCAGUAGGGAAGAAGCGAGAGUGACGGUACCUGCAGAAGAAGCGCCGGCUAACUACGUGCCAGCAGCCGCGGUAAUACGUAGGGCGCAAGCGUUGUCCGGAAUUAUUGGGCGUAAAGAGCUUGUAGGUGGCUUGUCGCGUCUGCCGUGAAAACCCGAGGCUCAACCUCGGGCGUGCGGUGGGUACGGGCAGGCUAGAGUGUGGUAGGGGAGACUGGAACUCCUGGUGUAGCGGUGAAAUGCGCAGAUAUCAGGAAGAACACCGAUGGCGAAGGCAGGUCUCUGGGCCAUUACUGACACUGAGAAGCGAAAGCAUGGGUAGCGAACAGGAUUAGAUACCCUGGUAGUCCAUGCCGUAA